GUUUUCUGUUUUUGAUAGACUUGGUGUGUUCAGAGUACUGCAGAGGUGUCCAAACAGACCUGAGAUUUCACAAUGGAUGCGUGUUUGUGUGUGUGUUUAUGUGUGUCAGCUUGCGUGGAAGAGGAAGAAGAGCCGACUAUUGACACAACAAGACACAGAGAGGAGGAGGAGGGAGAGAAGUGGGCAACUGCCUCCAAGAUGAGUCUGUCUGUGGAACAUGUGACCGGCAACAAAUCUAAGAGCCAAAACCACCUGGAGAAGGUACACUCCCCUGUACCCAGCUGUCUGUCCAUGAAGAGUGACCACUCCAUGGAACAGCCAAUAAAGUUUGGAGAGGGAGGCAUUUCUACUGAACAAGGGUAAGUAGAGUUGUUUCUGUCUAUACAGUGUGUCCACCAACUAGGACUCACAUUGGUAGAGCCGAUGGGGAACGUUUUUGGGAGGAGUUGCCCACCGUUCUGCUCUGAUUGGCCACCGGGUUGGAGUGAGAGUAUUGAAACUCGACAAAUUCCUCUAAGUAAUACAGUUUAAAAUCAGAAGUCUUCAAAUGUGAAUGGCAGUUGGUUUUUCCCGUCCAACCAAUUUAUUUGGUUGCAUCGGAGCAAGUCAAUUUCAUAUCAGAAUCAGAAGACACUAACUACGGGAUGGGUUUCUACAGGUCUUUUGGCUACAGGGGGCUUUAUAUACUCUUGACCAAGUUGAUUCUUUGUUACUAAAGGUAUGAAAACAGAGGACUGGCGCCAAAUGCUAUAGCCAUAUUCCUUUGUUUUCUCCCACAAUUAAAUAAUGCAACCAGCAUUCUCACACAUCUGUUGAGUUAGUUUCACCCAGAACUAAACUUGCUUUUCAAGUAUCUCUUGACAUCCAAGAAAACAUUGACAAACUAAACUAAAAAGUAUACUCAGACUGUAGCCUUGAUAAUUUAAAUCAGUGUUGCCUAGCUUAGCAGCCAUUGAUUUACUACGGUUGUUCUGGAUAGUUUAUUAACAGAAUAGGAAAUAUCCUUGGUCAGGAUAAAGAAUUUGGUCUCCCAUAAUGAAACAAAUAGGCAGGACAUGAUGAAAACAAUCAAGGUAUACAACGUGAAAUUACACACCCCAUAGUCAGACUUUUGUAAGAAUGAGGGGGGAUUGGACACCCGAAACCAUGAUCUUAACAAGAGCAAGACCAGAACUGGAGCAUCAGAGAGAGACACUUCAAGUUAGGUAUUUAGUAACCCUAAAGUUAGUUACCCAUUUUGUUGUGUACAGCUCUCCUCACCCUCCAAAUGUCUGUGUUCUCAGAGCUUUAAAAAUCAUAUAAACUACUGUCUUCUCAUUCUUUUCUCAGAUUGUAUCCGCUGGUAUUAGUGAUAUAACAUCAUCGUCACUGCAAAAAAACAUUACUCUUUAUUAGACUUUAUCUCUUGUGUUGAAGACUGAUCCAUCAGGAGAGAACAGACCCCCCUGUACCCAGCUGUCUGUCCAUGAAAAGUGACCACUCUAUGGGACAGCCAAUAAAGUUCAGAAAGGGAGACAUUUCUACUGAACAAGGGUAAGGAGAGUCAUUUUGUCUAUACAGUGUGGCCAACUAGGACUCACAUUUGUGGUGCUGAUGGGGAACGUUUUGGGGGAGGAGUUGCCUGUCACUCUGCUCUGAUUGGCCACCGGGUUAGUGAGAGCAAGACCUGAACUGGUGCGUCAGAGAGGGACACACUGUGAUCAAGUUCUGUCAAGUUAGGUAGCUAGUAACCCUAAAGCUAGUUAGCCUUUUUGACAAAUCAACUUAAACUAUUGUCUCCUAAUUUGUCUCUGAGCUUGUAUCUCCUGUUAUCAGGGAUGUAACAUCGUCAUCACGCGAAAUAAGCAGUUACUCAAUGUAUGUCUCCAUUGUGUUGAAGACUGAUCCAUCAGAAGAGAACAGACUCCCCUGUACCCAGCUGUCUGUCCAUGAAGACUGACCACUCUAUGGGACAGCCAAUAAAGUUUGGAGAGGGAGGCAUUUCUACUGAACAAGGGUAAGAAGUGAUAUAUCCUGGUCUCUUCCUUGUCUUCACUGUAUCAUGUUUGACUACAUAGUGGAGC
rnacentral:lncRNA from 1 species